rnacentral:rRNA from 1 species
GGACUACCGGGGUAUCUAAUCCUGUUUGCUCCCCACGCUUUCGAGCCUCAGCGUCAGAAACGUUCCAGAGCGCCGCCUUCGCCACCGGCCUUCCUCCCGAUCUCUACGCAUUUCACCGCUACACCGGGAAUUCCGCGCUCCUCUCCCGUCCUCUAGCCUGGCAGUCCCCUCUGAACUUUCCGGGUUGAGCCCGAAGAUUUCACGGAGGGCUUACCAAACCGCCUACGCUCCCUGUACGCCCAGUAAAUCCGAACAACGCUUGCCACCUUCGUAUUACCGCGGCUGCUGGCAC